rnacentral:rRNA from 1 species
GAGUUUGAUCUUGGCUCAGGACGAACGCUGGCAGCAUGCCUAAUACAUGCAAGUCGAACGAGGCGGAAGGAAGCUUGCUUUCUGAGGCCUAGUGGCGAACGGGUGAGUAACACGUGGGCAAUCUGCCCGUAUGUCGUGGAUAACGGUUGGAAACGACAGCUAAUACAGGAUGAGCAUCCCGAAGGCAUCUUUGGGAUGGAAAAGGGGCCAAGGCCCCGCAUACGGAUGAGCCUGCGGUGCAUUAGCUGGUUGGUGAGGUAACGGCUCACCAAGGCGAUGAUGCAUA